rnacentral:rRNA from 1 species
AGAGUUUGAUCCUGGCUCAGGAUGAACGCUAGCGAUAGGCUUAACACAUGCAAGUCGAGGGGCAGCAUGGUCUUAGCUUGCUAAGACUGAUGGCGACCGGCGCACGGGUGCGUAACGCGUAUGCAACUUGCCUCACAGAGGGGGAUAACCCGUCGAAAGACGGACUAAUACCGCGUACACUCCACUUUGGGCAUCCAAAGUAGAGGAAAUGAAAUUCGCUGUGAGAUAGGCAUGCGUCCCAUUAGCUAGUUGGUGAGGUAACGGCUCACCAAGGCGACGAUGGGUAGGGGAACUGAGAGGUUGAACCCCCACACUGGUACUGAGACACGGACCAGACUCCUACGGGAGGCAGCAGUGAGGAAUAUUGGUCAAUGGGCGAGAGCCUGAACCAGCCAAGUCGCGUGAAGGAUGACUGUCUUAUGGAUUGUAAACUUCUUUUAUACGGGAAUAACAAGAGUCACGUGUGACUCCCUGCAUGUACCGUAUGAAUAAGCAUCGGCUAACUCCGUGCCAGCAGCCGCGGUAAUACGGAGGAUGCGAGCGUUAUCCGGAUUUAUUGGGUUUAAAGGGUGCGUAGGCGGCCUGUUAAGUCAGCGGUGAAAUCUAGGAGCUUAACUCCUAAAUUGCCAUUGAUACUGGCGGGCUUGAGUGUAGAUGAGGUAGGCGGAAUGCGUGGUGUAGCGGUGGAAUGCAUAGAUAUCACGCAGAACUCCGAUUGCGAAGGCAGCUUACUAAGGUACAACUGACGCUGAAGCACGAAAGCGUGGGUAUCAAACAGGAUUAGAUACCCUGGUAGUCCACGCAGUAAACGAUGAUAACUGGGCGUAUGCGAUAUACAGUAUGCUCCUAAGCGAAAGCGUUAAGUUAUCCACCUGGGGAGUACGCCGGCAACGGUGAAACUCAAAGGAAUUGACGGGGGCCCG